UGGUCAUCUAGAAGCAUUUAGCAAGAGCCAGAGUCUGCUGGGGCAUAAAGAAAGGCAAAAAUGCAGUCCCUCCCAUCCAGAAGCUCACUGAUCCACCAACGAGGAGGAAGGCAAUGAUAUUAAGACAUAGAAGGGGGAAAGGACCAGGAGGUGGAUAACUGGAAUGAGGAAAUGACAGUUGGGGAGUGGCAAGUCCACAGAAAUGAGCAAUAGUGAGAGUACCCCAAUGCUCUGGAAUAAUUCACACCACCAGGCCCAGAAUUCACAUCCUCAGGUCCUGAAAGAACUGGCAGGUGGAAGCCACCUGUCAGUGACAGGGAAGAGAUC